rnacentral:rRNA from 1 species
CCUACGGGUGGCAGCAGUGGGGAAUAUUGCACAAUGGGGGAAACCCUGAUGCAGCGACGCCGCGUGAGUGAAGAAGUAUUUCGGUAUGUAAAGCUCUAUCAGCAGGGAAGAAAAUGACGGUACCUGAUUAAGAAGCCCCGGCUAACUACGUGCCAGCAGCCGCGGUAAUACGUAGGGGGCAAGCGUUAUCCGGAUUUACUGGGUGUAAGGGGAGCGUAGACGGCAGCACAAGUCUGGAGUGAAAUGCCGGGGCUUAACCCCGGAACUGCAUUGGAAACUGGGCAGCUAGAGUGCAGGAGAGGUGAGUGGAAUGCCUGGUGUAGCGGUGAAAUGCGGAGAUAUGAGGAGGAACACGAGUGGCGAAGGCGGCUUACUGGACUGUAACUGACGUUGAGGCUCGAAAGCGUGGGGAGCAAACAGGAUUAGAUACCCCUGUAGUC